rnacentral:rRNA from 1 species
GAUGAACGCUGGCGGCGUGCCUAAUACAUGCAAGUCGAGCGAACUGAUUAGAAGCUUGCUUCUAUGACGUUAGCGGCGGACGGGUGAGUAACACGUGGGCAACCUGCCUGUAAGACUGGGAUAACUUCGGGAAACCGAAGCUAAUACCGGAUAGGAUCUUCUCCUUCAUGGGAGAUGAUUGAAAGAUGGUUUCGGCUAUCACUUACAGCUGGGCCCGCGGUGCAUUAGCUAGUUGGUGAGGUAACGGCUCACCAAGGCAACGAUGCAUAGCCGACCUGAGAGGGUGAUCGGCCACACUGGGACUGAGACACGGCCCAGACUCCUACGGGAGGCAGCAGUAGGGAAUCUUCCGCAAUGGACGAAAGUCUGACGGAGCAACGCCGCGUGGGUGAUGAAGGCUUUCGGGUCGUAAAACUCUGUUGUUAGGGAAGAGCAAGUACGAGAGUAACUGCUCGUACCUUGACGGUACCUAACCAGAAAGCCACGGCUAACUGCGUGCCAGCCGCCGCUGUAACAC